GACGAACGCUGGCGGCGUGCUUAACACAUGCAAGUCGAACGGAAAGGCCCUGCUUUUGUGGGGUGCUCGAGUGGCGAACGGGUGAGUAACACGUGAGUAACCUGCCCUUUACUUUGGGAUAACUUCAGGAAACUGGGGCUAAUACCGGAUAGGAGCUCCUGCUGCAUGGUGGGGGUUGGAAAGUUUCGGCGGUUGGGGAUGGACUCGCGGCUUAUCAGCUUGUUGGUGGGGUAGUGGCUUACCAAGGCUUUGACGGGUAGCCGGCCUGAGAGGGUGACCGGCCACAUUGGGACUGAGAUACGGCCCAGACUCCUACGGGAGGCAGCAGUGGGGAAUAUUGCACAAUGGGCGGAAGCCUGAUGCAGCAACGACGCGUGCGGGAUGACGGCCUUCGGGUUGUAAACCGCUUUCGCCUGUGACGAAGCGUGAGUGACGGUAAUGGGUAAAGAAGCACCGGCUAACUACGUG
rnacentral:rRNA from 1 species